GACGUAGGGCGCGAGCGUUGUCCGGAUUUAUUGGGCGUAAAGAGCUCGUAGGCGGCUCGUUGCGUCGGCUGUGAAAACCCGCAGCUCAACUGUGGGCUUGCAGCUGAUACGGGCGGGCUAGAAUUCGGUAGGGGAGACUGGAAUUCCUGGUGUAGCGGUGAAAUGCGCAGAUAUCAGGAGGAACACCGGUGGCGAAGGCGGGUCUCUGGGCCGAUAUUGACGCUGAGGAGCGAAAGCCAGGGGAGCAAACGGG
rnacentral:rRNA from 1 species